rnacentral:rRNA from 1 species
GGGUGAUCCUGCCGGAGGUCACUGCUAUCGGGGUUCGACUAAGCCAUGCAAGUCGAGAGGGGUAAAGCCCUCGGCGAACUGCUCAGUAACACGUGGAUAACUGACCUAGGGUGGAGGAUAACCCCGGGAAACUGGGGAUAAUACUCCAUAGGCUACGGAAGCUGGAAUGCUCUAUAACCGAAAGUUCAGGCGCCCUAGGAUGGGUCUGCGGCCGAUUAGGUUGUUGUUGGGGUAACGGCCCAACAAGCCGAUCAUCGGUACGGGUUGUGGGAGCAAGAGCCCGGAGAUGGAUUCUGAGACAUGAAUCCAGGCCCUACGGGGCGCAGCAGGCGCGAAAACUUUACAAUGCGGGAAACCGUGAUAAGGGGACCCCGAGUGCCUGUACACGCAGGCUGUUCAGGUGUUUAAAACGCAUCUGGAGAAAGGGCCGGGCAAGACCGGUGCCAGCCGCCGCGGUAAUACCGGCGGCUCGAGUGGUGGCCACUAUUACUGGGCUUAAAGCGUCCGUAGCCGGGUUGUUAAGUCUCCUGGGAAAUCCAACGGCUCAACCGUUGGGCGUUCAGGGGAUACUGGCAAUCUAGGGAUCGGGGGAGGUGAGAGGUACUCUAGGGGUAGGAGUGAAAUCCUGUAAUCCUUGGGGGACCACCUGUGGCGAAGGCGUCUCACCAGAACGACUCCGACGGUGAGGGACGAAAGCUGGGGGAGCAAACCGGAUUAGAUACCCGGGUAGUCCCAGCUGUAAACGAUGCGCGUUAGGUGUAUCGGUGACUACGAGUUACCGAGGUGCCGAAGGGAAACCGUGAAACGUGCCGCCUGGGAAGUACGGUCGCAAGGCUGAAACUUAAAGGAAUUGGCGGGGGAGCACCACAACGGGUGGAGCCUGCGGUUUAAUUGGAUUCAACGCCGGG